UACGUAGGGUGCAAGCGUUAAUCGGAAUUACUGGGCGUAAAGCGUGCGCAGGCGGUGAUGUAAGACAGGUGUGAAAUCCCCGGGCUUAACCUGGGAACUGCAUUUGUGACUGCAUCGCUGGAGUGCGGCAGAGGGGGAUGGAAUUCCGCGUGUAGCAGUGAAAUGCGUAGAUAUGCGGAGGAACACCGAUGGCGAAGGCAAUCCCCUGGGCCUGCACUGACGCUCAUGCACGAAUGCGUGGGGAGCAAACAGG
rnacentral:rRNA from 1 species